GACGAACGCUGGCGGCGUGCUUAACACAUGCAAGUCGAACGGGCGGAUUUGGUAGCUUGCUAUCAUUGAAGCUAGUGGCAAACGGGUGAGUAACGCGUAGGCAACCUGCCCAUGAGAUGGGGACAACAUUCCGAAAGGGAUGCUAAUACCGAAUGAUGUUACGGAGUCGCAUGACUCUGUAACCAAAGGCUGAGCAAUCGGUCACUCAUGGAUGGGCCUGCGUCUGAUUAGCUAGUUGGCGGGGUAACGGCCCACCAAGGCUACGAUCAGUAGGGGUUCUGAGAGGAAGGUCCCCCACAUUGGAACUGAGACACGGUCCAAACUCCUACGGGAGGCAGCAGUGAGGAAUAUUGGUCAAUGGACGAGAGUCUGAACCAGCCAAGUAGACGUGCAGGAUGACGGCCCUAUGGGUUGUAAACUGCUUUUAUAAGGGAUAAAGUGAGUCUCGUGAGACUUUUUGCAUGUACCUUAUGAAU
rnacentral:rRNA from 1 species